rnacentral:rRNA from 1 species
AUGGGGCUGAUGGCGCUGAAUCGGCUCAUGUCCACGCAGCGGAAGCGGAAGCAGAGGCGGAAUCGUUGCCGUAUCCAAGCCCUCGGCAAUCCCCGCGACAUAGAUGGACGGGGUGCUGCCUCAUCGUUAUCUAAAAGAGACAGCCCACCCUACCGACAUGAUGUUAAUUCCCAUUGUGGCAAAGAAGCAAGAUAUCUGGAUCCAGUCCUUUCAGAGGACGUUUGGUGUCGUAUAUAUUCAUUACUACAGAUGCAAGACGCUGCCCGUGCUGCCUGUGUUUCUCGCUCCUUCCUAGGCUACUGGAGAUGCUACCCCAAUCUCACCUUCACCAAUGGAACAAUGUGCCCUAAAGAAAAUCUAAAGACAGCGGGAUCAAAUGUUAUAAGAGACUACAACAACCAAAUCGACCGUGUUCUGAUGAACCGUUCGAGCGCUGAUGCCGUGACGAAACUCAAGCUUGACUACCAUGUUCCUCCUGAUGGCGCUGAAUCGUAUCAUCGUCUUGAUAGCUGGCUCCAGAUGGCUGUUACGCCGAGGACCAAAGAACUCGAGCUUCUAGUAUGGUCGAAAGAGGCGAGCUUUGAUUUCCCCUGCAUACUACUAUCUGACAUGUGUGGGGGCUCGAUUCAGAAGCUUUUGCUUUUCAAAUGCGCCUUGCGUCCCACAUCUCAACUUGGUUUGAGAAGCCUCAGAACGCUGCAUCUGCGUGAUGUGCGUGUCACAGGGGAGGAAUUAGGGUGCCUUCUGUCCAGUUCCAUUGCUUUGGAGCACCUGAAGCUUGUAUACUGCGAUGAUAUAGUUCGCCUGGAGAUACCUUGCCUGCUGCAGAGGCUUAGCUUCCUGGAGGUGGCUGGAUGCAUGAAUCUUCAAGUGAUAGAGAACAAAGCCCCAAAUCUCUCCAAAUUUUACCUUGGAGCAGGUGAACGGAUGCAAGUCUCAUUUGGAGAGUCAGAAGUGAAGAAAGUGGAGUUGGUGCAGAGCCGUGCCAUCAGUUAUGCUACUGACAACCUUCCUUCACGUGUGCCGAAUCUCGAGACUCUUACCAUAUGUUCUACUUGUGAGAUAGUCAAUUCUCCAAUGGCAUCCGGCAAAUUCCUCCACCUCAAGUUCUUGAGUAUUCUUCUUAUGAGUGGAUCUAAUUUUGACAAGGACUAUGAUUAUUUAUCGUUGGUUCCUGUUUUCCAAGCAUCUCCUUCCCUGGAGAUGUUUUGCUUGUUUGUAUGGGAGCACUCCAUGUAUCACUGGUUUGAGGGAGAUCCUGCCUCUCUUAGGCGACUGCCACAACACUGCCAUGGGAACCUCAAGAGUGUGAAGAUCAUUGGUUUCUUCCCCCAAAAGAGCAUGAUUGAGCUGGCAUGCCAUCUUCUCGAGAAUGCAACGUCACUUGAGUCCCUUACAGUGGAUGCUAGUCCUGCUAAUUACCGGUGUUCUGGCAAGGGCAGGAAAUGCUGUCCCCUGAAAGCUACAGCUAUAGUGAAGGCACGUAAAUCAAUCUUGGCUGUGAAAAAAUACAUCAAGGGGAAUGUUCCCUCUACAGUCAAGUUAAAUGUUCCGAAGCCUUGCCAACGAUGCCAUCGCUUUUAG